rnacentral:rRNA from 1 species
AACGAACGCUGGCGGCAGGCUUAACACAUGCAAGUCGAACGUGAAGUCACCUUCGGGUGAUGGAAAGUGGCAGACGGGUGAGUAACGCGUGGGAACCUACCUAAUGGUACGGAAUAACUCAGGGAAACUUGGGCUAAUACCGUAUGUGCCCGAAAGGGGAAAGAUUCAUCGCCAUUAGAUGGGCCCGCGUCGGAUUAGCUAGUUGGUGGGGUAACGGCCCACCAAGGCGACGAUCCGUAGCUGGUCUGAGAGGAUGAUCAGCCACACUGGGACUGAGACACGGCCCAGACUCCUACGGGAGGCAGCAGUGGGGAAUAUUGGACAAUGGGCGCAAGCCUGAUCCAGCCAUGCCGCGUGAGUGAUGAAGGCCCUAGGGUUGUAAAGCUCUUUCGGCGGGGACGAUAAUGACGGUACCCGCAGAAGAAGCCCCGGCUAACCUCGUG